rnacentral:lncRNA from 1 species
AAUAAUAAUAAUAACAAUAAUAAUAACAAUAAUAACAAUAAUAAUAAUAAUAAUAAUAAUAAUCUAACCCCGAGCUUCACAUGAAGGCUCCGGAAACGGACUCCGGCCCCGGAUGCUGACGACCCGGAAACUCUCACCGAUGGUUUAUUUUUAACUCAUUGACUUUAUUAUAUUUUAUUCGCAUUUUCAAAACACGGAAAACACAGAGGACGAGAGAAGGUGAGAUGGGGACGCGGGACGAGUUCAUCAGUCAGUCAACCGACGGACGGACGGACGGCGCAGGCCACACCUCGGCGUCACCAUGGCGACGGUAAAUAGCGCAGCCUCUGGCGUCAUCGCAAUCGCGACAAAAGCAAAGAUGGCGUCACGUCAUCGGCGCCCUGCCAGAAAUAAACAUGGCGACGACACUUUCACUGCGGUAACGGUGCCCACAACACUUUCUGUCCCCGCCGCCCGUCACACACGGGGUCGCCGCGGAGUCACGACAGGGUCACCCGGGGGCGGACGGAGUCGCCGAGCCCGUCGGGACCGGCUUGAACGCGGAAGCGACGAGGGGAAAGCAUCGGGGAUUCGUGGGAGUGCGCGGAGGUGGCGCUUGAGGUCGCUGCCAGGAGAUGGGCGGAAGUGACGUCAGCAAUGCCCAAAGUCCCAAAGAGCAGCUUCCUGAGACUGUGACUCCAUCCCCUGUGACUGUGACUCCGCCCCUGUGACUGUGACUCCGCCCCGUGAUUGUGACUCCACCCAUUGUAACUGUGACUCCGCCCCCUGUGACUGUGACUCCUCCCCAGUGACUGUGACUCUGCCCAUGAGACUGUGACUCCGCCCCUGUGACUGUGACUCCGCCCCUUGUGACUGUGGCUCCGCCCCCUGUACUGUGACUCCGCCCCCUGUGACUGUGACUCCGGCCCUGUCACAGGUGAUGACGUAAACAACAGUGACGUCAACGACUACAAUAAUAAUAAACAAUAACGACGACAGGGCCGGGGCAGAGGGCGGGGCCCCGUG